GUGCCAGCCGCCGCGGUAAUACGGAAGGGGCAAGCGUUGUUCGGAAUCAUUGGGCGUAAAGGGCGCGUAGGUGGUUCUGUAUGUCUACCGUGAAAGCAUACAGCUCAACUGUAUUUUGUCGGUAGAAACUGCAGGACUUGAGGCUGGGAGGGGCUGGUGGAAUUCCCUGUGUAGCGGUGAAAUGCGUAGAGAUGGGGGAGAACACUCGUGGCGAAGGCGGCCAGCUAGACCAGUUCUGACACUGAGGCGCGACAGCGUGGGGAGCAAACAGGAUUAGAAACCCUUGUAGUCC
rnacentral:rRNA from 1 species